GAUAAUACACUGUCCUCCAAUCAAGCAUCAGGCACUAAACUCGUUUCUUCAAAGGAAGAUGAGUCAUCUGUCAUCUAUGCUCAAAUAGCAACAACAAAAACAUGAAUACUCUGAAGACAGUGGAAAGUAAAGACUUGGACUUUCACAAGUG